UGGGACUGCCGGUGGCAAACCGGGAGGAAGUGGGGAUGACGUCAAGUCCUCAUGGCCCUUAUAGGUGGGGCUACACACGUCAUACAAUGGCCGGUACAGAGGGUAGCCAACCCGCGAGGGGGAGCCAAUCCCACAAAGCCGGUCGUAGUCCGGAUCGCAGUCUGCAACUCGACUGCGUGAAGUCGGAAUCGCUAGUAAUCGCGGAUCAGCAUGUCGCGGUGAAUACGUUCCCGGGUCUU
rnacentral:rRNA from 1 species